UACGUAGGGGGCAAGCGUUGUCCGGAUUUAUUGGGCGUAAAGAGCGUGUAGGCGGCCAAACAGGUCAGCUGUGAAAACUCGAGGCUCAACCUCGAGACGUCGGUUGAAACCGUUUGGCUAGAGUCCGGAAGAGGAGAGUGGAAUUCCCGGUGUAGCGGUGAAAUGCGCAGAUAUCGGGAAGAACACCCGUGGCGAAGGCGGCUCUCUGGGACAACACUGACGCUGAAGCACGAAAGCGUGGGGAGCAAACAGG
rnacentral:rRNA from 1 species